rnacentral:lncRNA from 1 species
UAUUGAUAUGAAUAAGAAUGUUUAUGUACAAAGAUAUAAAAGAAUAAAAUAUGAAUAACAGAUCUAGAAAGAGCCAAAUAGUUUAACUAACACCUAGUGCUUGGAACCAUCGCUCAAGUAGAUGGGCAAGCUGGGGAAAUCACUCUAUUGUGGAUCGUUGUUUUUGUUUUGGACAAAAUGGAUCGUCUUUUCUAUGACCCUAAUAAGGUGAUCAGCUGGUCGUAACAUGUGCUCAUGUAGUCUUUCAUUUUGUUCACGCGAGACGUGAUAAAUUGUUGUCUCGAACGCCAAAGUCCAAAGGAACCAAGAUGAAGAAAAGCUUGUCAAACUUGCAAGAAAUGAGAUGUUGCAAAGUCGUUUACCUAUCCAUCUAAUUUGAAAUUAGAAAAAAUUAGCUAAAUAAUAAAAUAUAAUAAUUUUAUAGUUAGGUAAAGUCUUCAAAAUUAUCUUUGUAAAAGUCUUCAAACGUUAAAGAGAAUAUAAACUAACUAACUUUUGACGAAAAAAAUUUAAGUAAAUAGUCAUUGCUGAAAAAUAUGAAAGAAAAAAAGACUUCUGCACACAAUUUAUGACACUUUUAUCCUCACUUUGAUGACCAUCAUCACAUAAUCUUACUUUCUUAUUCUGCUUUCUUCUUUGCAAACUCCGCCGUCAUAUCUCCAUCGCAUAUCGGCAACAUAUUUCUCUGUUCUUUCUCUCAUCAACACAGAUAUAUCUAUAUAUCUAUCUCUCUAUCUAUCUCUCUAUAUAUCUAUCUAUCUAUCUAUCUAUCUAUCUAUCUAUCUCUCUAUCUCUCUAUCUCUCUAUCUAUCUAUAUAUCUAUAUAUCUAUCUAUCUAUCUAUAUAUCUAUAUAUAUAUCUCUCUCUCUCUCUCUCUAUCUCUCUAUCUCUCUCUCUCUCUCUCUCUCUCUCUCUCUCUCUCUCUCUCUAUCUCUCUCUCUCUCUCUCUCUCUCUCUCUCUCUCUCUAUCUAUCUCUCUCUCUCUCUCUCUCUCUCUCUCUCUCUCUAUCUCUCUCUCUCUCUCUCUCUCUCUCUCUCUCUCUCUCUCACCAACAAAUUUCUCGCCAAUAUCUCUGGAUUUCUUUGUUUCCUAUGUCGCCGACGAAUCUCUCUAACCAUCUUUUUCUUCUUCUUCUCCCUCUCUGUAGGAGCGCAAAAUAUGAAUUGAGAAAAUAUGCGAAUUUUAUUAAUAUAACGAUAAACAGAAACGAAUUACAACAACGAUAAUUAAAGACGUAAUUUAAAUAAUAUAAAUCACAGAGGCAAGAUAUGAUAUCUUUUUCCUUAAUUCAAUAAAUCGGUCGUAAGUGCUUUCGGACAAUCACGAUUUAUGAAUCCCAGCACACAACCGAUCACGAACUAAUACCCGAGCACACGAGUAAUAGACUCAAGCGAAUUUGAUCUACGAUAUACUCUCAAAACUACUAAACUAAAGACUUACUUUUAAGAAGCAAGAGAGAGGCGAGAUUUUAGAACUGAGAGUG